CCCCACCCGCCAACCCACACCUGCUCCCCCGCUUCAUUAAAAACUGCCCAUUUUUCCAGUUCCGACGAGGCGCCUCCCCCCCCUCCCCGCCGAAGACUAGGUCGAGUCACCGCCGGCAACAACCAUGUGCGGCGGCGCGAUCCUCAAGGACCUCAAGGUCCCCGCGGUGACGCGGAAGGUGACGGAGGCGGCGCUGUGGCCCGAGAAGAAGAAGCCCAGGCAGGCCGACGGCGGGGCCCGGCGCCUCGGGCUGGUCGACGGCGAGGAGGACUUCGAGGCCGACUUCGAGGAGUUCGAGGCCGACUCCGGGGACUCCGACCUGGAGCUCGGGCGCGGCCGGGCGGCUGAGAAGGACGACGACGAGGUCGUCGAGAUCAAGCCCUACGCCGCCGUCAAGAGGCCCCUCUCCCAAGAUGACUUCAGCAUCAUUACUACUGCUGGUUGUGAUGGUCCUGCACAAAGGUCAGCAAAAAGGAAGAGAAAGAACCAAUUCAGGGGUAUCCGUCAGCGCCCCUGGGGUAAGUGGGCUGCUGAAAUCAGAGAUCCUAGCAAAGGUGUCCGUGUUUGGCUUGGUACUUUCAACAGUGCUGAAGAAGCUGCAAGAGCCUACGAUGUUGAAGCACGCAGGAUCCGUGGCAAGAAGGCCAAGGUAAACUUUCCAGAGGAACCAACAGUUCCUCAGAAGCGCCGUGUUCGCCCUGCUCCUCUUAAAGCACCCAAGCUAAGCGCAUCACAGGAACCUACCGUCAUACCAGCAGUCAACAACCUUGCCAACCCAAAUGCUUUCGUCUACCCAUCUGCUGACUUUGCAUCAAACCAGCCACCUGUUCAGCCUGAUAACGUGCCAUUUGUUCCUGCAAUGAAGUUUGCUGCCCCUGUUGAAGCUCCUGUUAUGAACAUGUACUCUGACCAGGGAAGCAACUCUUUUGGCUGUUCUGACUUGGGCUGGGACUAUGAGACCAAGACUCCAGAUAUAUCAUCCGUUGCUCCCAUUUCCACCGUUGCUGAAGGAGCAGAAUCUGCGCUUAUCCAGAGCAACACCUACAACUCAGUGGUGCCUCCUGUUAUGGAGAACAAUGCUGUCGAUUUUGAACCUUGGACGAGGUUUCUUAUGGAUGAUGGCGUGGAUGAGCCGAUUGAUAGCCUUCUGAAUUUUGAUGUGCCUCAGGAUGUCGUUAGCAACAUGGACCUUUGGAGCUUCGGUGACAUGCCCAUCUGUGGCGAAUUUUUCUGAGGGAUUCAAACCCCUGUAUAUCAGGACAAAGGGAAUGAGACUAUGGGAGAUUGGGAAGCACCCUGUUGUCAACUUCGGCUAUCAUAUGCUUAUGUCCAAGCUUAGAUGCAAAAAAGUUGCAUCCUGAGUCUCUUUUGUAAUCAACCCUUCUCCUAGCUGACUGUCGAUGAACCGUUGUCAUUUAUGAGUCUGAUGAACCGUUGUCUUUAUCUUUUGUCAACUUAUAUGUCGUCGCUACCAUUUCUGAAUGUGAACGGCAUGGAUCUAUGUCCAGUUUGCUUUAA